AACUGUUGCUCUCUCAUGCUGAUUGUG
rnacentral:piRNA from 1 species